UUGCGGAUUGCAGUUCAAAUGAGCCACGAACGAGAACGGGCCGGGCUGAAAAACGUUCUUGAGAAGCACACAGCCAUUGAAAUUUAGGAGGAGAAGAACCAAGUCCCUUUUUUCUUACAAUCUAGGAAGGUGGUGUGACUCUAAGAAAAGCUGACAGAGUUUUUUAGGGUCCGAAAAGGGACAUUUUAGGUGGUCCUUCGUGAGCCAAAGGUGCAGUUUUUGGCUGAAAAAAAUCGAGUGAAGUGAACAGAACACGUUUGGAGACCAUUUUCGAAGGGAGUUGGUGUCGAGAAAUUGGGAAGUUUUUUCCUCGACCGAAAAAAAAACAGUUAGCAGUUUUGAGCAGAAGAUUAAAUUGUGAAGCAAAAAAAUAAAAAUAAUCAGACAACCAAACAUCCUUACAGAAGAAGAAAAAGAACAGACUUGGAGUCCAGUUUAUUAAGAGCAUCUUUGCCUGAACAAACGCCAUCACAGUAGCAGAAUAUCAUCAUUAAACGAUAUUUUUCAUCGUUGUUCGUUUUUCGCUCCACAAUUACCCAAAUCUCGAGUGUAUGUGUGUGUGAAUCUAUUUAUUUCUGAAUCGUGUUUGAGUUAGGCGAGUGUGAGCCUUUGCCAGAAAGCAAGCAAAUAAGCAAGCAAGUGUAUUAUAAGUGUAUUUGUGUGUCGCUGUCAAUCGCCGUAUAUGUACUUGUACAUGUCAGCGAACCGCUAGAUGCGUCAUACUCAACAUGGCGCCGCCGUGUAUAUUACUGUGAUCUGUGGAACGACAUUCAUGAG